AACGAACGCUGGCGGCAUGCCUAAUACAUGCAAGUCGAACGAUCAAUUCGGUGGUAGUGGCGCACGGGUGCGUAACGCGUGGGAAUCUGCCCUUGGGUUCGGAAUAACGUGGGGAAACUGACGAUAAUACCGGAUGAUGACGUAAGUCCAAAGAUUUAUCGCCCAGGGAUGAGCCCGCGUAGGAUCAGAUAGUUGUUGGGGUGAAGGCUUACCAAGGCGACGAUACUUAGCUGGUCUGAGAGGAUGAUCAGCCAGACUGGGACUGAGACACGGCGCAGAGUCCUACGGGAGGCAGCAGUAGAGAAUGUUGGACAGUGGGGGCAACCCUGAACCAGCAAUGCCGCGUGAGUGAUGAAGGCCUUAUCGUUAAAAAGCGCUUUUACCGGGGAUGAUAAUGACAGUACCGUGAGAAUAAGCCCCGGCUAACUCCGUGCCAGCAGCCGCAGUAA
rnacentral:rRNA from 1 species